UAUAUUUUAGAUUAUCAAAGUCUAAGUGAUUGGUGGGAAUAAAAUGUAGCUUUUGAGAUAGUAGGAAGAUGUAGAAUCGGAUAGAGAAGAGAAGAGCCGCCCAAAGGGACCCAAUCAAAGAAGAUGUCUAUGUCAAUGUAUUUUAGAUUAGUGAUAAACAAAAAAUUGGGUCCCCAAUCUUGAUGUUAGGAAUAAUAUAGAGGGCCACGUGGACAAUGGGCAGUGUAUGAAUUUAGAGCAAAUCUGAUGGUGACAUUGCACUUUUUUUCUUAGAUAUUUUGAUGAGUAUCUUGAUGAUAACUUUCUUUGAUCGCACACUUGUCUUGGUGGGGAGGAAUCAUUGUCCAUUAGAAUGUCAAUUUGCAUACAUAAAAGAAUUUGUUUGAGAAUUAAGCUUAGUUUUUAGACGUGGAAUCAGAAUUUUUUUUUUCUGACACUGUGAUUCUGGGUUCUAUACGCAAAGCACCAUCUCUAUUUUAAGUGACGAUUGGAGAAACAAGUUUUCAUCCACAGCAUCUGAUCCUUGCCUGUUUUAACUUUCAAAUUUUAGUCGUGGCUAGCCGCUUAUAUACAUGACCACUUGUACUUGAAACAACAUUUGGAGCUCUGUUGUGGGUUAAGCAAGGGGCUAUAGGCGUGUUGCCUUCAGCUUUAACUUGCUUUCCAGCUGUAUGGACGAAGUUAUCUUCUUCUUGUUCAAAGUAGGGUUGGUAAGCCUAUCGAGCUCUUCGGAUUAUAACUUUUCCAGCUGGAAUUGACGUAGUUAUCUUGUUGUUGUUCAAAGUUGAGUUGUCAAAUAUACUUGAAUUCAUUGAGUUUCGAUAGAC
rnacentral:lncRNA from 1 species